GUGCCAGCAGCCGCGGUAAUACGUAGGGGGCAAGCGUUGUCCGGAAUUAUUGGGCGUAAAGCGCGCGCAGGCGGUUCCUUAAGUCUGAUGUGAAAGGCCACAGCUCAACUGUGGAGGCCAUUGGAAACUGGGGAACUUGAGGACAGAAGAGGAGAGCGGAAUUCCACGUGUAGCGGUGAAAUGCGUAGAUAUGUGGAGGAACACCAGUGGCGAAGGCGGCUCUCUGGUCUGUAACUGACGCUGAGGCGCGAAAGCGUGGGUAGCAAACAGGAUUAGAUACC
rnacentral:rRNA from 1 species